CCCAGACUCCUACGGGAGGCAGCAGUGGGGAAUAUUGCACAAUGGGGGGAAACCCUGAUGCAGCGACGCCGCGUGAGUGAAGAAGUAUUUCGGUAUGUAAAGCUCUAUCAGCAGGGAAGAAAAUGACGGUACCUGACUAAGAAGCCCCGGCUAACUACGUGCCAGCAGCCGCGGUAAUACGUAGGGGGCAAGCGUUAUCCGGAUUUACUGGGUGUAAAGGGAGCGUAGACGGCAUGGCAAGUCAGAUGUGAAAGCCCGGGGCCCAACCCCGGGACUGCUCUGGAAACUGCGUCGCUGGAGUACGGGAGGGGCAGGCGGAAUUCCUGGUGUAGCGGUGAAAUGCGUAGAUAUCAGGAGGAACACCGGCGGCGAAGGCGGCCUGCUGGACCGUGACUGACGUUGAGGCUCGAGAGCGUGGGGAGCAAACAGGAUUAGAUACCCGGGUAUC
rnacentral:rRNA from 1 species